CUUGCACCUAUCAAACUGGCCAUGCCCAUGCCCAUUCUGGGCCCAUAUGGAAGCUCUCUUUGCACCUUUUGGUUGACCUCUGAGGAGCAGCUUGGAUACCUUCUUCCCCUUAACACUGUAGAGGCUCUCUGCAACAGAACUCCCUACAUCUCACAGCACCAGCCUCCGUUCUCCUACCAAGUGUGAUUUGUGUGUCUAGCCUUCUCUAGGACUUCUGCCAGAUUGGGUACAGCUAGGAGAGCCACAUUCAAAACCAAGAAGAGAAAGGAGUCAUAGAGCCACAGCCAGAAUGUUUAGGAUCCAAGGUGGCUGCCAGGACUCCAGAUGUCACAUCCCUUUCCCAAGCAGCAGGAUGGAGAGAGAAAGAGAGAAGGUCGUCCAGUCUCUCUUUGAAAAGACUUCCUGGAAGAAUUGCACAUCUGCAGAUGUUCCGUGGAGCAUCAUCACCAAAAAUGCACACGAAACUGCCACUAGAAGCAAAUGGAGGAAGCACACAGCAGGACUGGGUGUCUUUAAUUGCCAUUGCGAACGUGUGUCCAUCUGCACCACGUGAAUGAUUUGCGGCACAGCCGGGACCUGGCUCAGUUCUCUUGACACAUACAUCAACUCACAAGCACUGAAGUGGCAAGGCUGUUUGCAGAAGA
rnacentral:lncRNA from 10 species